rnacentral:misc_RNA from 1 species
GGAUGAAGAACGCAGCGAAAUGCGAUAAGUAAUGUGAAUUGCAGAAUUCAGUGAAUCAUCGAAUCUUUGAACGCACAUUGCGCCCCUUGGUAUUCCGAGGGGCAUGCCUGUUCGAGCGUCAUAUUAACCACUCCCGCUUGCGGGGUCUUGGGCUUCGCCUCCGGGCGGGCCUUAAAAUCAGUGGCGGUGCCGUCGGGCUCUACGCGUAGUAAAUUUUCUCGCGAUAGGGUCCCGGUGGAUGCUUGCCAACAACCCCCAACUUCUUAAGGUUGACCUCGGAUCAGGUAGGGAUACCCGCUGAACUUAAGCAUAUCAAUAAGCGGAGGA